GUAAUUCAAGUCUUAGAUGCUUUCCUCUGUGCAGUUGGACUUACCUCAUAUUCCGUGCUGGUGAUUAGGAUUGUUCAACCUGAAUUGAAAGCACUUGCAAUCGGCUUCCAUUCAAUGAUUAUGCGAUCGCUAGGAGGUAUUCUAGUUCCAAUAUAUUUUGGGGCUCUGAUUGAUACAACGUGUAUGAAGUGGUCCACCAACAGCUGUGGAGCACGAGGGGCUUGUAGGAUAUAUAAUUCCACAUAUUUGGGAAGAGCCUUCUUCGGCUUGAAGGUUGAUUCCAUGCCUUGGAUAAUAUGAAUACAUGCCUUGGAUAAUAUGAACAGUGCUGCAAUAAACAUGAAAGUGCAGAAUGACUCUUCAACAUAUUUAUUUCAUUUUCUUUGGCCAUAUACCCAGUAGUGGGAUUGCUGGAUCAUAUGAUAGAUCUAUUUUUAAAUUUUUGAGGAGCUUCCAUACUGUUUUUCAUAACCCCUGUACUAAUUUACAUUAACAACUGUGUAUAA
rnacentral:lncRNA from 1 species